GAUGAACGCUAGCGACAGGCCUAACACAUGCAAGUCGAGGGGCAGCACAAGGAGCAAUCUGAGGUGGCGACCGGCGCACGGGUGAGUAACACGUAUGCAACCUGGCUGUAAUCGGGGUAUAGCCUCCUGAAAGGGAGAUUAACACCCCAUGAUACCUUUUUAUCGCAUGAUAAAAAGGUUAAAUUUGAAGAUUACAGAUGGGCAUGCGUUUCAUUAGCUGGUUGGUGAGGUAACGGCUCACCAAGCCCGCGAUCCUUAGGGGAACUGAGAGGUUUAUCCCCCACACUGGUACUGAGACACGGACCAGACUCCUACGGGAGGCAGCAGUGAGGAAUAUUGGUCAAUGGUCGGGAGACUGAACCAGCCAAAUCGCGUGAAGGACGACGGUAUUAUGUAUUGUAAACUUCUUUUAUGAGGGAAUAAAGUGCACCACGUGUGGUGUUUUGUAUGUACCUUAUGAAUAAGCAUCGGCUAACUCCGUGCCAGCAGCCGCGGUAAUACGGAGGAUGCGAGCGUUAUCCGGAUUUAUUGGGUUUAAAGGGUGCGUAGGUGGGUCUAUAAGUCAGCGGUGAAAUCUCGAUGCUUAACAUCGAAAUUGCCGUUGAAACUGUAGACCUUGAGUAUGGACGAGGUAGGCGGAAUUCGUAGUGUAGCGGUGAAAUGCAUAGAUAUUACGAAGAACUCCAAUAGCGCAGGCAGCUUACCAGACCAUCACUGACACUGAAGCACGAAAGUGUGGGUAUCAAACAGGAUUAGAUACCCUGGUAGUCCACACAGUAAACGAUGAUAACUAACUGUUUGCGAUAUACAGUAAGCGGUACAGCGAAAGCGUUAAGUUAUCCACCUGGGGAGUACGCCGGCAACGGUGAAACUCAAAGGAAUUGACGGGGGCCCGCACAAGCGGAGGAACAUGUGGUUUAAUUCGAUGAUACGCGAGGAACCUUACCCGGGCUCGAACGGCUAAUGAAUAUAUGUGAAAGCAUAUAGCUAGCAAUAGUAUUAGUCGAGGUGCUGCAUGGUUGUCGUCAGCUCGUGCCGUGAGGUGUCGGCUUAAGUGCCAUAACGAGCGCAACCCUUAUCUUUAGUUACCAUCAGGCCAUGCUGGGGACUCUAGAGAGACUGCCACCGUAAGGUGUGAGGAAGGUGGGGAUGACGUCAAAUCAGCACGGCCCUUACGUCCGGGGCUACACACGUGUUACAAUGGGAGGGACAAAGGGCAGCUACCUGGCGACAGGAUGCGAAUCUCUAAACCCUCUCCCAGUUCGGAUUGGAGUCUGCAACCCGACUCCAUGAAGCUGGAUUCGCUAGUAAUCGCGCAUCAGCCAUGGCGCGGUGAAUACGUUCCCGGGCCUUGUACACACCGCCCGUCAAGCCAUGGAAGCCGGGGGUACCUGAAGUACGUAACCGCAAGGAGCGUCCUAGGGUAAAACUGGUAACUGGGGCU
rnacentral:rRNA from 1 species